rnacentral:lncRNA from 1 species
GUUGGGACAAUCCCCGAACUACCUCGCUCUCACACUCACUCGGACGUAGGUGGAAGAAGAGGGACACAGAUAUUUCCGGCGCACAUACGCCCCGCCACACGAACGGCACCUCGGCUGCACGAACAGCCUAAUUUUUCAUUGAGCACGAACUCUGGCUCGGCACAUACCGCAGCCACACCCACACGCAGAACUACUGGAGACUACAUCUCUCUUAGCCACUCUCCACUCCGCACAACACCAAUACAUGGCUUAUAUAGCCGGACACACACUAGGCAUUGGCCUCAUGCACGCACGCACACGCAUGGAUCGCCCGGCCACUAAGCCAACUAACUAUGCCAUGCACCCACAACCUGCUAGCUACAUGCAUGGUCAGACUCAUGACGUGCGCAACCUCCCUCAACAGUCGAGUCCAUCCAUCUAGCUUGCAACCAACUGCUCCGGCCGCGUGCACGACGCGGCUGUCUCCAACAGAUUGCAACGGCCCUCGUGCAUGUAGCUCCUUCACUCAACUAACGUGAGCGUGGACUCACGCCGGAACACACACGCCCACGCCCUGCAUAGACCGCACCUGGCGCACCCGACGCCAGUCGCCAUCGCUCGGACAUGGCUUAUUGCCAACACUCACCCCCGAAGCCAUGACCUCGCCAUCGCCGGAGUUGUUGCAGCUCCCGUUGUUGUUGUCGUCACGAGUGUGACCCAGCCCGCGGACCCGACCUGGCGCAACGACGCCGGUCGCACCGCCACGGACCCGACCUGCCGCACUGACGCCGGUCGCACCAUGCUCCGUCAUGACUCCAGCGACACACGCCAAACUCCUUCUCCGCCGGCGACACACGCCUAGCGUGCCUCUGCGCCCCGCACGUCCCACGCGCACCCGACGCGCCCGACGAGCCCGAUCGCACCAGUGCGUCCCGCACGUCCCGCGCGCACCCAACGCGCCCGACAAGCCCGACCACACCACACGUCGUGGACUCACCGCGCGCCACUUCCGCGUCCGCCAUGGUAGCAGCAGCGCCGCGCACCUCCACGGGCCGACACACGGCCCGGAGCUUCACCGCGGAGCCGCCGGUGAACGCCGCCACCGCCGGUACGCCUCCGGCAAGGGGACGGCACCCAAGAUGAACCAGCUCAUGAUACCAAAUGUUGGGACAAUCCCCGAACUACCUCGCUCUCACACUCACUCGGACGUAGGUGGAAGAAGAGGGACACAGAUAUUUCCGGCGCACAUACGCCCCGCCGCACGAACGGCGCCUCGGCUGCACGAACAGCCUAAUUUUUCAUUGAGCACGAACUCUGGCUCGGCACAUACCGCAGCCACACCCACACGCAGAACUACUGGAGACUACAUCUCUCUUAGCCACUCUCCACUCCGCACAACACCAAUACAUGGCUUAUAUAGCCGGACACACACUAGGCAUUGGCCUCACGCACGCACGCACACGCAUGGAUCGCCCGGCCACUAAGCCAACUAACUAUGCCAUGCACCCACAACCUGCUAGCUACAUGCAUGGUCAGACUCAUGACGUGCGCAACCUCCCUCAACAGUCGAGUCCAUCCAUCUAGCUUGCAACCAACUGCUCCGGCCGCGCGCACGACGCGGCUGUCUCCAACAGAUUGCAACGGCCCUCGUGCAUGUAGCUCCUUCACUCAACUAACGUGAGCGUGGACUCACGCCGGGACACACACGCCCACGCCCUGCAUAGACCGCACCUGGCGCACCCGACGCCAGUCGCCAUCGCUCGG